rnacentral:rRNA from 1 species
UACGUAGGGUGCAAGCGUUGUCCGGAAUUAUUGGGCGUAAAGAGCUCGUAGGCGGUCUGUCGCGUCGAAUGUGAAAACCCGGGGCUCAACUCCGGGCUUGCAUUCGAUACGGGCAGGCUAGAGUUCGGUAGGGGAGUCUGGAAUUCCUGGUGUAGCGGUGAAAUGCGCAGAUAUCAGGAGGAACACCGGUGGCGAAGGCGGGACUCUGGGCCGAUACUGACGCUGAGGAGCGAAAAGCGUGGGGGAGCGAACAGG